rnacentral:rRNA from 1 species
GAUGAACGCUGGCGGCGUGCCUAAUACAUGCAAGUCGAGCGAACAGACGAGGAGCUUGCUCCUCUGACGUUAGCGGCGGACGGGUGAGUCACACGUGGAUAACCCACCUAUAAGACUGGGAUAACUUCGGGAAACCGGAGCUAGUACCGUAUAACAUUUUGAACCGCAUGGUUCAACAGUGAAAUACGGUCUUGCUGUCACUUAUAGAUGGAUCCGCGCCGCAUUAGCUAGUUGGUAAGGUAACGGCUUACCAAGGCAACGAUGCGUAGCCGGCCUGAGAGGGUGAUCGGCCACACGGGAACUGAGACACGGUCCGGACUCCUACGGGAGGCAGCAGUAGGGAAUCUGCCGCAAAGGGCGAAAGCCUGACGGAGCAACGCCGCGUGAGUGAAGAAGGUCUUCGGAUCGAAAAACUCUGUUAUUAGGGAAGAACAAAUGUGUAAGUAACAAUGCACGUCUUGACGGUACCUGAUCAGAAAGCCACGGCUAACUACGUG